UCCCUGAUGACUCAGUUGGUAAAAGAAUCUGCCUGCAACGCAGGAGACCCAGGUUCGAUCCCUGGUUUGGGAA
rnacentral:tRNA from 1 species